UACGAAGGGGGCUAGCGUUGCUCGGAAUCACUGGGCGUAAAGCGCACGUAGGCGGAUUGCUAAGUCAGGGGUGAAAUCCUGGAGCUCAACUCCAGAACUGCCUUUGAUACUGGCGACCUUGAGUCCGGGAGAGGUGAGUGGAACUGCGAGUGUAGAGGUGAAAUUCGUAGAUAUUCGCAAGAACACCAGUGGCGAAGGCGGGAGUCUCUGGGCCGAGUACUGACGCUGAGGAGCGAAAGCGUGGGGAGCGAACAGG
rnacentral:rRNA from 1 species